rnacentral:rRNA from 1 species
UCCCGCAACGAGCGCAACCCUUAUCCUUUGUUGCCAGCGGUCCGGCCGGGAACUCAAAGGAGACUGCCAGUGAUAAACUGGAGGAAGGUGGGGAUGACGUCAAGUCAUCAUGGCCCUUACGACCAGGGCUACACACGUGCCACAAUGGCGCAUACAGAGAGAAGCGACCUCGCGAGAGCAAGCGGACCUCAUAAAGUGCGUCGUAGUCCGGAUUGGAGUCUGCAACUCGACUCCAUGAAGUCGGAAUCGCUAGUAAUCGUGGAUCAGAAUGCCACGGUGAAUACGUUCCCGGGCCUUGUACACAC